AUGAAUUGAUACUUCUUUAAGCAAAAGCAAGGGGCGUUCCUCGUAAACGUCGGUGGGCGUUAACACAUGACGGUCAGCUGUCAGAAAUGACAGAGCACUGGACUGUGGAAGUUGUCUGUCCAUCAAUUUAAUUGACUGCAAGAUAGUCAAAGAACAGCAAAUUAAUGGGGAGACUGCUGAGGUUGACAGAGGGGAUGGUUGAACAACUGUUUCCUCUGAUGAAACACAGUCUUGUUUUUUAAGGGGGGAAAGUUAUGCAAAUCAUCGUUGGUUCAGUACCCAAACCAUAAAAAAUACACUGAUGUCCUGUGGUGUCUGAUCACUAGAUAUCCAUUUCUUAACGACCACAGCUCAUCUGGAUAUGUAUUUUAUUUUUUAACGUUUUGUUAUGGAAAACAUUAUUCCUCAAUUGAAUUCCUAUACUAGCCUACUCUGACUCUGUCUGAGCCUCAUAAUUAAUGUCUUUACUCAAAGGAAUAAUUUUAAAAAGGAAAGUUCUCCUUUGAUAAACUUGACGACGGUGCAGGAGAUGAAGAGAAAGUUUGAUGUCAAAAGACAAAGAAUUGUGGACCAUGUGCCUCUGGAGGACCCACCUGGACAUCAGAGAGCAAAAAAGUGCAGAGUGGGGGUCCAGAUGUCUUCUGAUUAUGAGCCAACACAAGAGAUUAUGUUGGACCUUGAAGCAGUUGGGGAGGACUACCACAGCUUUUAAGAGCAUAUAAAUGCCAUAAACAAUUAGUUGUGCCGUCGUCAGCCAGAUAUUAGUCAUAUAAUGGACAGGAUGAGGCAAACUGUCUAUAAGAGGGUAGAGCAAAUGGGAAAACCAACUGAGGAGGUGAUGGAGAUGUUCCCAUUUCUUUGGGUGCCAGAGCUGAUGCAUCAUGAAAUGAAGUUGCGGUUCGGACUGGACUUAAAGCUAAGCCUGCAUAACACCCUCAGUAUAUUGACCCCUGACGUCAUCAGAGUGGCUGACAGUGGGAAUCAGAGGGAGUCAGAGGGAGAGGCUGUCAAGCCUACGAGAUACGAACA